AUUGAACGCUGGCGGCAGGCCUAACACAUGCAAGUCGAGCGAGCGGCGGACGCGUGAGUAAUGUAUCGGGACUCUCCGAUAGAGGGGGAUAACUCCUGUAAACAGUGUCUAAUAUCGCAUACCGCCGCAGUACCCCUAUGUGGUUAGCUAGUAGGUAAGGGAAUGGCUUACCUAGGCGACGAUCCCUAUCUGGUCUGAGAGGAUGAUCAGCCAAACUGGGACUGAGACACGGCCCAGACUCCUACGGGGGCAGCAGGGGGGAAUAGUGCAAAAUGGGCGCAAGCCUGAUGCAGCCAUGCCGCGUGUAUGAAGAAGGCCCUAGGGUUGUAAAGUACUUUCAGUCGGGAGGCGUUACCGACAGAAGAAGCACCGGCUAACUCCGUGCCAGCCGCAGCGGUAAUUC
rnacentral:rRNA from 1 species